rnacentral:rRNA from 1 species
GCAUAUCAAUAAGCGGAAGGGAAAAGAAACCAACCCGGGAUUGCCUCAGUAACGGCGAGUGAAGCGGCAAGAGCUCAAAUUUGAAAGCUGGCUCCUUCGGGGUCCGCAUUGUAAUUUGCAGAGGAUGCUUCGGGUGCGGCCCCUGUCUAAGUGCCCUGGAACGGGCCGUCAGAGAGGGUGAGAAUCCCGUCUGGGAUGGGGUGUCCGCGCCCGUGUGAAGCUCCUUCGACGAGUCGAGUUGUUUGGGAAUGCAGCUCUAAAUGGGUGGUAAAUUUCAUCUAAAGCUAAAUACUGGCCGGAGACCGAUAGCGCACAAGUAGAGUGAUCGAAAGAUGAAAAGCACUUUGAAAAGAGAGUUAAAAAGCACGUGAAAUUGUUGAAAGGGAAGCGCUUGCGACCAGACUCGCCUCCAGGGUUCAGCCGGCAUUCGUGCCGGUGUACUUCCCUGGGGGCGGGCCAGCGUCGGUUUGGGCGGCCGGUCAAAGGCUCCCGGAAUGUAGUGCCCUUCGGGGCACCUUAUAGCCGGGAGUGCAAUGCGGCCAGCCUGGACCGAGGAACGCGCUUCGGCACGGACGCUGGCAUAAUGGUCGCAAACGACCCGUCUUGAAACACGGACCAAGGAGUCUAACAUCUACGCGAGUGUUCGGGUGUCAAACCCGUACGCGCAGUGAAAGCGAACGGAGGUGGGAGCCCCCUCGCGGGGCGCACCAUCGACCGAUCCUGAUGUCUUCGGAUGGAUUUGAGUAAGAGCGUAAAUGUGGGGACCCGAAAGAUGGUGAACUAUGCCUGAAUAGGGGCGAAGCCAGAGGAAACUCUGGUGGAGGCUCGCAGCGGUUCUGACGUGCAAAUCGAUCGUCAAAUUUGGGUAUAGGGGCGAAAGACUAAUCGAACCAUCUAGUUAGCUUGAUUCCUGCCGAAG